GAUGAACGCUAGCUACAGGCUUAACACAUGCAAGUCGAGGGGCAGCAUGGUCUUAGCUUGCUAAGGCCGAUGGCGACCGGCGCACGGGUGAGUAACACGUAUCCAACCUGCCGUCUACUCUUGGACAGCCUUCUGAAAGGAAGAUUAAUACAAGAUGGCAUCAUGAGUCCGCAUGUUCACAUGAUUAAAGGUAUUCCGGUAGACGAUGGGGAUGCGUUCCAUUAGAUAGUAGGCGGGGUAACGGCCCACCUAGUCUUCGAUGGAUAGGGGUUCUGAGAGGAAGGUCCCCCACAUUGGAACUGAGACACGGUCCAAACCCCUACGGGAGGCAGCAGUGAGGAAUAUUGGUCAAUGGGCGAGAGCCUGAACCAGCCAAGUAGCGUGAAGGAUGACUGCCCUAUGGGUUGUAAACUUCUUUUAUAAAGGAAUAAAGUCGGGUAUGCAUACCCGUUUGCAUGUACUUUAUGAAUAAGGAUCGGCUAACUCCGUGCCAGCAGCCGCGGUAAUACGGAGGAUCCGAGCGUUAUCCGGAUUUAUUGGGUUUAAAGGGAGCGUAGAUGGAUGUUUAAGUCAGUUGUGAAAGUUUGCGGCUCAACCGUAAAAUUGCAGUUGAUACUGGAUAUCUUGAGUGCAGUUGAGGCAGGCGGAAUUCGUGGUGUAGCGGUGAAAUGCUUAGAUAUCACGAAGAACUCCGAUUGCGAAGGCAGCCUGCUAAGCUGCAACUGACAUUGAGGCUCGAAAGUGUGGGUAUCAAACAGGAUUAGAUACCCUGGUAGUCCACACGGUAAACGAUGAAUACUCGCUGUUUGCGAUAUACAGCAAGCGGCCAAGCGAAAGCGUUAAGUAUUCCACCUGGGGAGUACGCCGGCAACGGUGAAACUCAAAGGAAUUGACGGGGGCCCGCACAAGCGGAGGAACAUGUGGUUUAAUUCGAUGAUACGCGAGGAACCUUACCCGGGCUUAAAUUGCAGAUGAAUUACGGUGAAAGCCGUAAGCCGCAAGGCAUCUGUGAAGGUGCUGCAUGGUUGUCGUCAGCUCGUGCCGUGAGGUGUCGGCUUAAGUGCCAUAACGAGCGCAACCCUUGUUGUCAGUUACUAACAGGUUCCGCUGAGGACUCUGACAAGACUGCCAUCGUAAGAUGUGAGGAAGGUGGGGAUGACGUCAAAUCAGCACGGCCCUUACGUCCGGGGCUACACACGUGUUACAAUGGGGGGGUACAGAGGGCCGCUACCACGCGAGUGGAUGCCAAUCCCAAAAACCUCUCUCAGUUCGGACUGGAGUCUGCAACCCGACUCCACGAAGCUGGAUUCGCUAGUAAUCGCGCAUCAGCCACGGCGCGGUGAAUACGUUCCCGGGCCUUGUACACACCGCCCGUCAAGCCAUGGGAGCCGGGGGUACCUGAAGUGCGUAACCGCGAGGAGCGCCCUAGGGUAAAACUGGUGACUGGGGCUAAGUCA
rnacentral:rRNA from 1 species